UACGGGGGGGGCAAGCGUUGUUCGGAAUUACUGGGCGUAAAGGGCUCGUAGGCGGCCAACUAAGUCAGACGUGAAAUCCCUCGGCUUAACCGGGGAACUGCGUCUGAUACUGGAUGGCUUGAGAUUGGGAGAGGGAUGCGGAAUUCCAGGUGUAGCGGUGAAAUGCGCAGAUAUCAGGAGGAACACCGGUGGCGAAGGCGGGUCUCUGGGCCGUAACUGACGCUGAGGAGCGAAAGCGUGGGGAGCGAACAGG
rnacentral:rRNA from 1 species